UUCUCGUAAUAACCAAAUUUGUUUUUCCUUGAGGUCCAGAUUCUGUUGAACUGGAUUCUAACAUGUAGGACUUUGCUAUAAAAAGUAAUUCUUUGUGCACCGCAUGUGGUGCAAUACUAUUGCACCGCCCAAUAACAUUGGGGCACGUAGUGCAUUCAGAUAGGACGGGCAUUUAAUACUGCCCAGUUUUUCCUUUUUUCAAUUUUUCAGUGACGAAAAUACCCUUUAUGACUUUCUAAUACCCUGUAUGACUUCCCGUGAGUGACUUCCUGUGGAUAUAUAUGACUUUCUGUAAAUAUAUACUAUUCAGAAAGUCAUAUGACUUCCUUUGACUUCCUCACUGUGAAUAUAUAUGACUUCCUGUGAAUAUAUAUGACUUUAUAUAUUAAUAGGAAGUCAUACAUGUUCACAGAAAGUCAUAUAUAUUCAUAAGAAGUCAUAUAUGUUCAUAAGAAGUCAUAUAUGUUCCCAAAAAGUAUAUAUUCAUAGGAAGUCAUAUAUGUUUACAGA
rnacentral:lncRNA from 1 species